UGUAUCAGGGCUGAUUAAAUUAUGGCUAAGGUUUUAGUGAUCUCGAAUUUAAAAGAGCUAUAUUUAAAUAUAUUUUAAUGUUGAAUAAUUAUUUAUAAUUUAUAUAUAGUAAUGAAAUGUUAUUCGUUUUUGAAUAUAUCUAGUUUUCUAAGAAAUUAAUUAAAUUUAGUAGCUACUAAAUAUUGGUAUAAUUAUUUAUUUUGAUGUUAGUAGUUAUUAAUAUCUGAGGGGAUGAGCUUUUGGAUAAAUGAUUAAAAGGAUUUAGUUUUUGAAUAAUUUGUAGGAUUAGAAUUUUCCACCUAUAAGAGGAUUUUAUAAUUUAUUAUUCUAUUAUAUAAUUUUUAUUUCCUUUAGAUUUUUUAUUAGGAUUAUAGUGUUAAUUUUUUUUAUUAUGUAAUAAUGAUUAGAUUAGUAUAAAUUGUUGUAUUGUUAAGUUUUCUUUUGAGGUUAUAGAAAGGAAUUCGG
rnacentral:rRNA from 1 species